rnacentral:rRNA from 1 species
GGGGAAUAUUGCACAAUGGGCGAAAGCCUGAUGCAGCAACGCCGCGUGAGCGAUGAAGGCCUUUGGGUCGUAAAGCUCUGUCCUUGGGGAAGAAACAAAUGACGGUACCCUUGGAGGAAGCCCCGGCUAACUACGUGCCAGCAGCCGCGGUAAUACGUAGGGGGCGAGCGUUAUCCGGAAUUAUUGGGCGUAAAGAGUGCGUAGGUGGCCAUGUAAGCGCGGGGUGAAAGGCAAUAGCUUAACUAUUGUAAGCCUUGCGAACUGUAUGGCUUGAGUGCAGGAGAGGAAAGUGGAAUUCCUAGUGUAGUGGUGAAAUGCGUAGAUAUUAGGAGGAACACCAGUGGCGAAGGCGACUUUCUGGACUGUAACUGACACUGAGGCACGAAAGCGUGGGGAGCAAAC